CUAAAAUGAAUUAACUGAUGAACAAUAAGAAACGGGCAUAUUUGUAUGUGUCUUUAGAUUUGAUUUGUUCCUAUGUGUUUUUUAAAUACUUAUUGACAACUGUUUUUAAAAAUGUAAUUUACUGACGUGUUGUAUGUACUGAGAUAAAUAUUUAUGAAUAAUUGAGAUAAACAACGAAUAGUUUGCCAGGGGAACAAACCUACAAACCUACACCUACAAAGCUUUUUUUUUUAAUAUUUCAGGUAAACUAAUAUAUAAAGUAAAUGCAUUAAUGUCCACAGGUUAACAUUUAUAGACCACGGGUUGUCUUCGAUGAACCAUGUCACUCACGGAAGCUCAAACUGGGCAUAUGAAAAGUGGAAGCAGGAGCUCUUGAAGAGAGGGGAGCAAUUGAAAGCAACACAUUGGAACUCUUUAAUCCACUCAUUGUUCAUCAAAAGCACAAACCUCAGGGCCACUAGAUUCUCUGCAGCCAAAAGUAUUUUGAAGGCAGAACCAUAAAAAGCCUGCAUCUCUCUUCCGGCAGCACAUUGGAGAAACUAUAGACAAUGUCAAACGGGAGAUGAGUCCUGGCUAAUGAACAUGCUGAUGAGACCUUGAUGGCCCAGAGCACAUAGACAGAAAGCUAGGUGAAAUGUUGUCGCUGAGAUGCCGACAGUGAGUAUAUAUGUGAGUAAUAUGAGAUUGGAGAUCAGAGAUAAGAAUACACACUAUGAAGUGAUCCCGACGAUCCCACACUUUUCAGAGUCAGGAUUAUGGCCAAAAAAUUUGGCCAAUUAACUGCGUUAGAGCAUCCAGCCGAAAGGGGCAAGAUAAGACUUUACACAAGAAUCAGGAGUGAGUCAUUCUAAUUCACUGCAAUGCUGCUGCAGAGAAAUAGCAAAGGCCCAGUGGGAAACAGAAUCCCACCAGGCAUUGUGAUGGAUGAUGUUUCUCUUUUGGAGAAUUUACUCCUAGAUACGUCUGACGGCAGUUUCCAUGGUACACUGAGCAACAAGGAAAGAGAGAAAGAACUCAACUCAUGAUAAAGGAUUUGGCGCGAACAAGUGGACAUAAUGUGAAAUGGCUGCUUCUGUCAGCUUUAAAAUCAAACCCGUGUAGUGAAGGGUUACGGUAAAACUACAAAAGGGAUUCCCACCAAACGUGGUGGAGGGAUGGGGCCUUGUCCAAUUGAAACCCAUUCAAUUUUGGUGUGGAUGUGGAUUAAGGGGAGGAUCCAGG